rnacentral:rRNA from 1 species
AUUGAACGCUGGCGGCAUGCUUUACACAUGCAAGUCGAACGGUAACAGGUUAAGCUGACGAGUGGCGAACGGGUGAGUAAAGCAUCGGAACGUGCCCAGUAGUGGGGGAUAGCCCGGCGAAAGCCGGAUUAAUACCGCAUCCGACCUAUGGGUGAAAGGGGGGGAUCGCAAGACCUCUCGCUAUUGCAGCGGCCGAUGUCAGAUUAGGUAGUUGGUGGGGUAAAGGCCUACCAAGCCGACGAUCUGUAGCUGGUCUGAGAGGACGACCAGCCACACUGGGACUGAGACACGGCCCAGACUCCUACGGGAGGCAGCAGUGGGGAAUUUUGGACAAUGGGCGCAAGCCUGAUCCAGCCAUGCCGCGUGCGGGAAGAAGGCCUUCGGGUUGUAAACCGCUUUUGUCAGGGAAGAAAUCCUUUGGGUUAAUACCUCGGGGGGAUGACGGUACCUGAAGAAUAAGCACCGGCUAACUACGUGCCAGCCGCCGCAGUAA